UAGAACAAGUCUACAAGGCGACCUAAACUAGGGAUGGAGGGAGUAGCAGAAUUUGUUCGGUAUUUUUUUAUUUUAUUUAUUUAGCACUCAUAGGUUAGCUGGUAGCAUUACAACAUAAAAAAAGGCAAGAAAGUGACCCAAUCUUUGGUAGAACCGCGGAGGAGCAGGGGGAUAAAGGUGAGCCGAGUCCACGUAGCAACCGUGAGCGGCCACUGCCCACUGCGUUGGCCGCGGUAGCAGCUAGCAGUCCAAGGCAGAGCUCUCACGCGGACGGCGGACCUGGCCACCUGGGGGGGCGCGGACGGAGCCUUCGCUUUCCCCCCUACCCUCCCUUUCGAACGACUACCGAGGAGGCAUCCGAGGUGGCCAGCCACGAUGAUGGCCGCGGCGGCGCUGAGGCCGCACAAGUCUUCGCCGGCGCGGGUGCCCACGCGGUGCGUGGCCGCGCUCUGCGCCGCCUGCUUCCUCGUCGGCGUCGGCGUCGUCAACAGGUACUGGCCUGUUCCUGAGCCUCAUCCCGGUUGCCCAGACAAGGCUGGCCCUGACCACUCGAGGGCCGUGUUGAACCAAGCGUCACAGACUCGCGAAGUCGUCAUGGCGUUGGACAAGACGAUAUCCGACAUCGAGAUGCGCCUGGCUGCGGCUAGAGCCGCCCAGGCGAUGAGCCAGGGCAUGUCACCGGGCGACUCGGACUCGGAGGGCGACCAGGGAACCGCGCGGCGUAGGAUGUCUUUUGUCAUGGGCGUUUUCACCACUCUUGCUAACCGGAAGCGGAGAGAUUCAAUAAGGCAGACGUGGAUGCCACAGGGUGAUCAGUUGCGAAGAUUGGAAGACAAGGGCGUUGUUAUCCGUUUUGUUGUUGGACGCAGUGCAAAUCCAAACCUGGAAAAUGAGGUCGACCAUGCAAUUGAUAUGGAGGAUGAAGAAUACAGUGAUAUCUUGAGAAUUAAUCAUGUGGAAGGCUAUGGAGGGCUCCCUAUGAAGGUUCAGAUGUUCCUUUCGACUGCUCUUACAAUGUGGGACGCUGAUUUCUAUGUAAAAGCCGACGAUAAUGUCCAUGUCAACAUUGGUAUCACCAGAUCGAUUUUGGCGCGACACAGGAUGAAACCUCGGGUGUACAUUGGCUGCAUGAAAUCUGGACCUGUUGUUGCUAAGAAUGACUCCAAGUAUUAUGAGCCAGACCAUUGGAAGUUUGGGACUGAGGGUAACAACUACUUUAGGCAUGCAACACGUCAGUUGUAUGCUGUAACCAGGGAUUUAGCAACUUACAUAUCAGCAAACCGGCAUAUCCUGCACAAGUAUUCAAAUGAAGAUGUAUCAUUUGGCUCUUGGUUGAUCGGGUUGGAAGUUGAGCAUGUUGAUGAGAGAAGCCUUUGCUGUGGUACUCCCCCAGUGUACUCCUUGUUGACCUUGUGAAGCAAUAAGCUUCUUGUCUGGCCGGUCUCUCGAUAGCAUGUUCUAUCCUUUUCACUUCAAUGCUGCUGUAACUGACUGCGAAUGGAAAGGGCAGGCCGGGAACCCAUGUGCGGCGUCCUUCGACUGGAACUGCACUGGCAUCUGCAAUCCGGUGGAGAGGAUGACAGAGGUACACCGACGAUGUUGGGAAGGCCUUGGAGCCGAAGGGCACGCACAGUCUUUGACUUUUGACAGCCAAUAGUUGGCGCUUGGCGGAUCAUUGUCGCACCAUUUUCUUCCUCUUCUUUAGGGCCCUGUAAUUAAUAUGCGGAGAUGAACUUGUAUGCAAUGGCUCGGUUUUUCAGAUGUGCAGCAAUGGCAUCGUUUCCUGGCCAGUUCGCGUGCGGAAACUGGGGUAGAGAAUUAGGAGUUCAAUCUGCAAGUGAGUCUCUAAUAACUGGAGAUGCCUCACUGGACGUCCGAUGAAACUGGGGUAGACUGUUUGAUUCUCUGAUGAAAGAAUUAGCUGUCUGUCUGAGUUCUCUA